rnacentral:rRNA from 1 species
AACGUGCCCAAUCGUGGGGGAUAACGUAGAGAAAUUUACGCUAAUACCGCAUACGAUCUAAGGAUGAAAGCGGGGGAUCGCAAGACCUCGCGCGAUUGGAGCGGCUGAUAUCAGAUUAGCUUGUUGGUGAGGUAAAAGCUCACCAAGGCGACGAUCUGUAGCUGGUUUGAGAGAACGACCAGCCACACUGGGACUGAGACACGGCCCAGACUCCUACGGGAGGCAGCAGUGGGGAAUUUUGGACAAUGGGCGAAAGCCUGAUCCAGCAAUGCCGCGUGUGG